rnacentral:rRNA from 1 species
UACGUAGGUGGCAAGCGUUGUCCGGAAUUAUUGGGCGUAAAGGGCGUGCAGGCGGUCUGUUAAGUCUAGGGUGAAAGCUCCCGGCUCAACUGGGAGAGGUCCUUGGAUACUGGCGGACUUGAGGGAGGCAGAGGAAAGUGGAAUUCCCGGUGUAGUGGUGAUAUGCGUAGAUAUCGGGAGGAACACCAGUGACGAAGGCGGCUUUCUGGGCCUUACCUGACGCUGAGACGCGAAAGCUAGGGGAGCGAACAGG